UACGUAGGCAGCAAGCGUUGUUCGGAGUUACUGGGCGUAAAGGGUGUGUAGGCGGUUGUCUAAGUUUGGUGUGAAAUCUCCCGGCUCAACUGGGAGGGUGCGCCGAAUACUGAAUGACUAGAGUGCGGGAGAGGAAAGUGGAAUUCCUGGUGUAGCGGUGAAAUGCGUAGAUAUCAGGAGGAACACCGGUGGUGUAGACGGCUUUCUGGACCGUAACUGACGCUGAGACACGAAAGCGUGGGUAGCAAACAGG
rnacentral:rRNA from 1 species